GACGAACGCUGGCGGCGUGCUUAACACAUGCAAGUCGAACGGAAAGGCCCUGCUUUUGUGGGGUGCUCGAGUGGCGAACGGGUGAGUAACACGUGAGUAACCUGCCCUUGACUUUGGGAUAACUUCAGGAAACUGGGGCUAAUACCGGAUAGGAGCUCCUGCUGCAUGGUGGGGGUUGGAAAGUUUCGGCGGUUGGGGAUGGACUCGCGGCUUAUCAGCUUGUUGGUGGGGUAGUGGCUUACCAAGGCUUUGACGGGUAGCCGGCCUGUGAGGGUGACCGGCCACAUUGGGACUGAGAUACGGCCCAGACUCCUACGGGAGGCAGCAGUGGGGAAUAUUGGACAAUGGGCGGAAGCCUGAUGAAGCAACGCCGCGUGCGGGAUGACGGCCUUCGGGUUGUAAACCGCUUUCGCCUGUGACGAAGCGUGAGUGACGGGAAUGGGUAAAGAAGCACCGGCUAACUACGUG
rnacentral:rRNA from 1 species